GAUGAACGCUGGCGGCGUGCCUAAUACAUGCAAGUCGAGCGAACAGAUGAGGAGCUUGCUCCUCUGACGUUAGCGGCGGACGGGUGAGUAACACGUGGAUAACCUACCUAUAAGACUGGGAUAACUUCGGGAAACCGGAGCUAAUACCGGAUAAUAUAUUGAACCGCAUGGUUCAAUAGUGAAAGACGGUUUUGCUGUCACUUAUAGAUGGAUCCGCGCCGCAUUAGCUAGUUGGUAAGGUAACGGCUUACCAAGGCAACGAUGCGUAGCCGACCUGAGAGGGUGAUCGGCCACACUGGAACUGAGACACGGUCCAGACUCCUACGGGAGGCAGCAGUAGGGAAUCUUCCGCAAUGGGCGAAAGCCUGACGGAGCAACGCCGCGUGAGUGAUGAAGGUCUUCGGAUCGUAAAACUCUGUUAUUAGGGAAGAACAAAUGUGUAAGUAACUAUGCACGUCUUGACGGUACCUAAUCAGAAAGCAACGGCUAACUACGU
rnacentral:rRNA from 1 species